GACAGAUAGUUAACUUAGUUAUUAAAAGCGGUUGAUUAUAGGAUUAUGGUUAGAAUCUUGGAAUAGAAAGUAACUAUAUAGGAAUUGUAGAAAUUAGUCUGAGUACUACAUUGUGAUAGUCAUGAACAGGAGUGAAUUUGGUGCUACUUCUUUGUUUCUUUGUUGUUGAAGAGUAAUGGACAGUUUUUAAAUACUGUGAAGUGAAUCUGUGGAAUAAAUCAGAGAUCAAUUUAU
rnacentral:lncRNA from 1 species